rnacentral:rRNA from 1 species
CCUACGGGUGGCAGCAGUGGGGAAUAUUGGACAAUGGGCGAAAGCCUGAUCCAGCCAUGCCGCGUGUGUGAAGAAGGCCUUCGGGUUGUAAAGCACUUUCAGUGGGGAAGAAAGCCUUGGGGCUAAUACCCUCGAGGAAGGACAUCACCCACAGAAGAAGCACCGGCUAACUCCGUGCCAGCAGCCGCGGUAAUACGGAGGGUGCGAGCGUUAAUCGGAAUUACUGGGCGUAAAGCGCGCGUAGGCGGUCUGAUAAGCCGGUUGUGAAAGCCCCGGGCUCAACCUGGGAACGGCAUCCGGAACUGUCAGGCUAGAGUGCAGGAGAGGAAGGUAGAAUUCCCGGUGUAGCGGGGAAAUGCGUAGAGAUCGGGAGGAAUACCAGUGGCGAAGGCGGCCUUCUGGACUGACACUGACGCUGAGGUGCGAAAGCGUGGGUAGCAAACAGGAUUAGAUACCCGAGUAGUC